UACGUAGGGGGCAAGCGUUGUCCGGAAUUAUUGGGCGUAAAGAGCUCGUAGGCGGUUCAGUAAGUCGGGUGUGAAACCCCCAGGCUCAACCUGGGGACGCCACCCGAUACUGCUGUGACUAGAGUCCAGUAGGGGAGUGUGGAAUUCCCGGUGUAGCGGUGAAAUGCGCAGAUAUCGGGAGGAACACCAGCGGCGAAGGCGGCACUCUGGGCUGGAACUGACGCUGAGGAGCGAAAGCGUGGGGAGCGAUCCGG
rnacentral:rRNA from 1 species